rnacentral:rRNA from 1 species
AUUGAACGCUGGCGGCGUGCUUAACACAUGCAAGUCGAGCGGUAACAGGCGUAGCAAUACGUGCUGACGAGCGGCGAACGGGUGCGUAAUACAUGGGAAUCUGCCUUUUAGUGGGGAAUAACCCGGCGAAAGCCGGGCUAAUGCCGCAUAAGAUCUUCGGAUGAAAGCGGGGGAUCGUAAGACCUCGCGCUGAAAGAUGA